UACGAAGGGUGCAAACGUUGCUCGGAAUUAUUGGGCGUAAAGCGCACGUAGGCGGCUUUGCAAGUCGGAUGUGAAAUCCCACGGCUCAACCAUGGAAGUGCAUCCGAAACUGCAGAGCUUGAGUACUUAAGAGGAUCGCGGAAUUCCCGGUGUAGCGGUGAAAUGCGCAGAUAUCAGGAGGAACACCGGUGGCGAAGGCGGAUCUCUGGGCCAUUACUGACGCUGAGGAGCGAAAGCGUGGGGAGCGAACAGG
rnacentral:rRNA from 1 species